AUUAAACGCUGGCGGCAUGCCUUACACAUGCAAGUCGAACGGCAGCACGGGGUGGUAACACUCUGGUGGCGAGUGGCGGACGGGUGAGUAAAGCAUCGGAACGUGCCCUGGAAUGGGGGAUAACGUAGCGAAAGUUACGCUAAUACCGCAUAUUCUGUGAGCAGGAAAGCAGGGGAUCGCAAGACCUUGCGUUCGAGGAGCGGCCGAUGUCGGAUUAGCUAGUUGGUGGGGUAAAAGGCCUACCAAGGCGACGAUCCGUAGCGGGUCUGAGAGGAUGAUCCGCCACACUGGGACUGAGACACGGCCCAGACUCCUAC
rnacentral:rRNA from 1 species